UGGCACCUUGUGACUGGAGCUGGGAC
rnacentral:piRNA from 1 species